UCAGGCCGAGUUCCCAUGCAGGCCAGGCGGAGUGGGAGGGAGCGGAAGGGAGGGGCCGAGGGGGGGUGAAAGAGAGAAGACCGGACCAUUGUACCACUCUGGGCCCCAGCUCCCACCGAAUAUCGGACCCCAGCCCUGGAGACGGGCCCGAAUUGCGCUCCUGCUCUGAGAGCAAGAUGAUUUAUCUCCCGCUUUGAGCCUAGGGUCCCACCUCCCUCUUCUGUCUAGACUUCCAGAGCUGGCCACCCUCGGCUCUCAGCCUUGCCUGCUGCCUUCCGAUGGUCACUUUCUCUUUUGCCACUAAGAUCUGGGUUUCCCGCCUGUUCAGCUGACUAGGUUAGGGGGCUGGAGGAGGGAGCACCCCAACCUCCGUGGCAAACCGUGCGCUUUCUGUGAGUCCUCUUCAACAGCCCUCCCAGCCUCCUCAUGCCCACCGUGGAACCACUCCCCCAAGUGAAAGCUCAGAGGAGCCUGUGACUGGGCUACUUCUGUCCCGACCUUUCCCUCCUUUCCUCUGGGGACCAGGGGGACCUGGAAGAACAAUAGCAGCCCUUAGCCCCCUCCUCUUCCAGCCUCAGGUUAGAAAAGGCCGCAGGGGGAGGUAACAAAGGCCACUUCCCACACAGGCGGCAGGGAGGGGCUGCAUCAGUGGGCUGUGAUUUUGGCGGUGCUGAUGUCUCCAGAUAGGGCAGCACCCCCGUUUUGCUGCCUUUCGGGGAGAGCACCAAGAGAAAGAAAGAGAGAGGCAAAUGAAAUUCCUGAAUGGAUAGACAGAUGCUACGUCAUGAGCUGCAUCCUCCACUCCACAAGAGGCCAGGAGCUGGGGGAAGACAGGCAGUCCGGCCGGUCGCAGGGGCCCACGCUCCUUGGCGCUCCUCGGGAGGCUGGAGCUGGGCGGCUGAGAAGGAGUGGCCUCGUUUGUUCCUGGUGUCAUCGUAGGUGGCUACCUUUGGCUGUUGGUGAGUCCUAUGUAGUUGGUGACAACGGAACAUAA
rnacentral:lncRNA from 1 species